rnacentral:rRNA from 1 species
GAUGAACGCUAGCUAUAGGCUUAACACAUGCAAGUCGAGGGACCGGCGCACGGGUGAGUAACGCGUAUCCAACCUGCCCAUAACUAAGGGAUAACCCAGCGCAAGUUGGACUAAUACCUUAUGGUUAUGGAUUGGGAUGCGUCUGCUGAGCUGGUUGGCGGGGUAACGGCCCACCAAGGCAACGAUCAGGAGGGGUGCUGAGAGGAAGGGCCCCUGCAUUGGAACGGAGACACGGUCCAAACGCCUACGGGAGGCAGAAGUUAGAAAGAUUGGUCAAUGGACUCAAGUCUGAACCAGCAAAGUAGCGUGCAGGAUGGCGGCGUAGGGGUGGUAAACGGCUUUUAUAUGGGGAUGGGUACAAUAUGAAUAAGGACCAGCUAAUACCGUGCCAGCAGCCGCGGUAAUAC